CUCCUUUUCGAGCCCGCCUCCCCAAACCCUCUCCCCCUCUUCGUGCCACCCUCUCUAAUUCCUCCACCCUCUCCUCUUCGAUCCCGCCUCCCCAAACCCUCUCCUCUUCUUCGUGCCACCCUCAAACCACGGCCCCACGAUAACCCUCUCAGAACCCUCAUCCCCUCGGUGGCCGCUGCAGCUGCUCUCGCCCUCGUUGCCCUUCUCCGCCGCCCUCUCAAGCUAGCCCUCGCCGCCACCCCCAUCUCUUAGUCUGAGGCCCUCCCGGAAUCCCUCACCGAUGAUGAGAAAGUCUGCGCACUCAAAGACCACCUCACCUCUGAUCCAGACGACAUUAAGGCGCUCCGAUCGCUACUUGAGCUCAAAGUGAAGACCAAUCUACUCCCCGACGCUAUCGCCAUCAUUGACCGUCUCAUUGCUCUGGAACCUGACGACAAGGACCUCCCCCUCAUCAGUCUCUUCUCUCUUCUCCUCCCCCUUCUUCUUACUCUUCCAUAGAUGUUUAGAUCCCUGUUCAUUGGUAGUCUACUACAAAUCACUCUCUGAUAUGCACUUUUUUCUAUCGAGAUAUCAAUGCUCUUGAAGUGAACACUCAUGGAACAAUGCAUAAUCUGUUGAACUACAUUAACAAAUUAGUGACAAUGGAGUUUGUGGGCAAUGUUCUCUUUGAUGCAUACAUCAGUUACAAUUGAUUUGUGAGGAAAUGUUUUCUGAGUCCAUAAUCUAUCCACAUUAUUGUCAUUUGUGCUCUAUUUUCUAUUGAAUCAUGAAAUUCUCUCUUUUGCAGAAAUUAUAGUUCUGAGUUAAAUAUAAUAGGUUUCUUUUGGGGGUGUCAAUAUUAAGCUUAUAUUUAACCUUCACACACACACACAGUAUACCGCAUUGAAACUGUUAUUGUUCCAAUGAUUAUUGAACUCAAGCCUCUUGCUUUUUUGUGAAGUAUCAUGAUGAUUGGUAUGCCUGAUUCUCACUUUCCAUGUGCUAAACUUUAUAACUUUUUGUGGUACUCUCGUUGACAGCGCCUGACCAUCUCUAUCUUCUGAAUUUUCUAUUGGGUAGUUUGUACAGAAUAGUUUCUAAGCCUUCUUUUCUUUUUCCAUGGCUGAUAUAUUAAUCUUUAUUUCAUGAAUUAUCAUUUUGUAAUUGUAUGAUUUAUUUUUGGUUUGAUGAGGAGAAUAAAGAGGUACAACUUCUGGCAAAUGAUUUAAUGUGGAUAGGCUUUGGUUGAGACUCGAGUAGUAUUAAUAUAAGACUAAACAAUGACAUAUAUAUGAGUUCUGUUCUAUGAUAGGGUAACUCUUUGAUUUUAUAUUUCUCUACUCUAAAGGAUAGCACAAGUGUAUUUUAUUUACUUGAUGAUGUUGAAAUAAAAUAAAAGUUUGCUUUGGUACAAAGUUCGAGUUUCACCUAACACUGAAGUUGUAAAAUACCAGCAAGUUACUGAUUACAUUAUUCUUUUUAACUUCUAUAAAGUGCAUGGCUACUUCUGGAUGCAAUUGGGAAUAUUGAUCAUUGAAUAGUAGCUAAGCUAAUAACAUCUUUCUCCUCCAUCAGUUAUACUUCUUGAUAUCUUUAUCUGGUUUUCCUAGUCUUACUUCUCCAUUCCAACUUCUAUUUCUUACAUUACAUUUGGUUGGAUGUAUCCUCUUAUAAAGCAGAAAAGUUAUAGGUGUAGUAGCCUCCCCACGGAAUGUGACUCCAGAGAAGUCAAAAGGCCACGGAAUGUUAUGAUCAAAUGAGAAAAACUGUUAAAGGAUGGUUCAAUAAGUUGCUGUCAAUGCUAUUACCUGAUAUGGAAAUCAAUCUCCUUGCUCAAGUCAUGAGCCUUGUUCAAUAACAUCUCAAUCUCCUGCCUUCCGGACAAAUUAGCCAGGGCAGAGCUGCUGGAAGAAAUGGUGGUGAUGAGUCAAGAGUCGUGCAUGGGCACCUACAAAGGAUACUAGAACUGCAAAACUACAUUAAUAAGCAUAGCAAAUAUGAUUUAUGUGUGGGUAAGUUGAACUGAAUACAUUGAUUAUUGGCGUUUCAUUAAACUGACUUCAGUGUACAAAGAUGCAGAUCCUUGAUUGAUGAUGCUGAUUUGGUAAACUGAAGCCACUUUUAAAAGAUAGAAAAUGAAUGUGCUUUUUAUUCUUUAUUCCUCUGCAACUGGUAAAUAGAAAUGUAUUCUUGUUUCUAAAUGCUAGCAGAAAUAGUGAUUAUGAUGAGUUGACUAGAUGCUACCGUGUGCUUUGAAACUUGCUUUUAAUUAAUUUGAUUACAAUAAACUUUCCCAUUAUGCAGAGCAUGGAACUUAAGAUGAUUGUAGAGUACAUUAUCGCAAAUGGACAGGUUUGAGUAUUUGUUGCAAGUAAGCGAGCGUGGUAAGUCUCUUCUGUUAUUUUCUUCCAUAAAUUGGCAGGCAUGUGAUCUGAGAAAGGUUGGCAAAGCUUUUUCAGGUUUUCAUUUAUUAGCCAACACAUCACAUUAUUUGAUUCAAGGGGUAAUUGAUUGACUCAUCAGCUUCUAUUUAAUGGCAUGCAUAUUUAAACAGGAAAAGCUAGAAAUGUUAAACAAGUUGCGUAUCCACUGUUGCAGUCACACUCAUGAUCAAAAGCCCCUGUUUUUCUGCAGUCACCUCCUCCAGAGAAACAAGUAGCUAUUCUGAAUUUGUUGCCUGGAAUAAGUAAGCAUCAUUUUGCAUAAAUUUUGUAGAGUAGGAUGAUUGGGAUGAUGAUGAUGUGAAUGAUGACUUCUUAUUGCAGUUGAAGAAUGAGCUUGAUAGCAACUUUGAGAAGAAAUAGACUGGAGUAAUGGAGCCUGAGAACUGAUGAAUCAAUUGGCUGUCUUCUUAGCAAUUCUCUCUUAAAGAUUAGUUAUUGUGCCAAACUAAGUAGUUUUUUUAUGUAAACCAGAAUCUAUAACAUGUUUUAGGUUUCUAAUCAAGAGAUUCCAAACCCUUGGGCAAUGGCUUAAUAUAGCUUAUUUAUAAAAGAAUUCAGAGUUCGUAUUUUA